rnacentral:snoRNA from 1 species
ACUGGAAGCUGCUGGAACCAGUCGUGGGCAAAAGAAAUAUGUUUUGUCCACCGUUGCAGUCUUCCUAGACCAAAGUGGAGGUCUCUGUCUGCUUUAGGAGAGCCAACUAAACCAGAUCGUUCCCCUCCAUACAUG